CAGAGUUGUUCUAUUUGCUGUUGGUCUGUUCACAACUGUUGACCUAUCCUCUCAGGCUGAUCGAGGUGUCGGGAAUCUCGGAACUGCUUUUAGAUCACGAGGACCGUGGCGAAUGCCUAGCUGCUUUAUUAUGAUGCUGCCAGAAAAUGAGACCCAGGAAGCAUUUCUCGACAGGGUUCCUGAAGCGACUGGGAGGAAAGUUUAUCAUGGUACUUUGCCUACACCACCCUGUUUUCUGCUGAUUGAGGAAAGCCUAAGCUCAUUUUGAGGUCUCUUGCAUUCAUUCAUCGCUAAACAACCUUAUAUACGAGUAGGAUUUCUGCCUCCCUGCUCUUUCAUUCCACUGGGUUUGCACUGAAGAUAGUGAAGGGGGCAUCUUCAUGUUGCAGUCGCUGUGAUACACCCAAGAGGCCAGGAGAGGGAAUUUUUAUAUGGUGGACCAGCAAGGACAUCAAUCUUUAAAACACACACACAAAGGCCUGGAGAGGCUUACCAUCUAGUGGCCGCUCAAGGAAGCACAAGGCUUUAAGACUCGACUUUCCAGACCUGAUCCUUUGCUUGGUGGUUUUGUACUACAAAUCCCAUGAGCCUCAGGCCAUAUGGCCAUGAAUGGAAGUUUGUAGUAUAAAAUGUCUGGAAGGAUUCCAGUUGGAGAAGACUGCUUUGGAAGGUUUGCAGAAAUAUGUCUAGUUAAAACACCAACUUUAUAAGCAAGCAGAAAACACAAAAUUGCUAAAAGCUUUUGGAAAUGUUUAUAUUGUCGUUUCUUAGCAAGUUGUGAGAGGCUGGUAGACCAAAAUAUCCUAGCUUUGAGAGGUUGCCCCCUACCCUCUUUAUAGGAAAACACUUUAUAGGAAAACACUCAUGUCACUAAUUGAAAUCCAUUUCCCUAUAAAAUGGCACGCUUAGCACAUGUCAAGACUGUUGAUCUCUUGGAAAAUGUCCAUAUAUCAGCAUAAAACCCUCUAGAGGUUGGCCAACUCAACUUCUCUUCAUUCCUGGCCACGAGGAUGGGAGAUGAAGUCCAGCUUCUGGAAGGCUGAUCUUGUUGUGCAGGUCAAAUUCCUGCAUGAUUUUACCCGGGCUUUAUUUCUUAUG